AGACAUGCGAUGAAAUGGUAUCACACUUGCCUUUCACUUGGUUGUUAGCAAGUGGCCAGGGUUCGACUCCCCAUGUGUA